rnacentral:rRNA from 1 species
CCUGUAUGUUAAACGAGAAGACUUUAGAUAUGAUCCAGAGUACCACGGGACACGUGAAACCCUGUGGGAAGCAGGAGGGACCACCCUCCAAGGCUAAAUACUACCUAGUGACCGAUAGCGUAUAGUACCGUGAGGGAAAGGUGAAAAGAACCCCGGGAGGGGAGUGAAAUAGAACCUGAAACCCUGCACUUACAAGCUGUGGAAGCACAUUUCUUGUGUGACCGCGUACUUUUUGUAGAACGGGCCAACGAGUUACGUUAAGUAGCAAGGUUAAGCACUUAAGGUG